CUAACACAUGCAAGUCGAGCGGAAACGAAGAGGUGCUUGCACCUCUGGCGUCGAGCGGCGGACGGGUGAGUAAUGCUUGGGAAUAUGCCUUAUGGUGGGGGACAACAGUUGGAAACGACUGCUAAUACCGCAUGAUGUCUACGGACCAAAGUGGGGGACCUUCGGGCCUCACGCCAUAAGAUUACCCCAAGUGGGAUUAGCUAGUUGGUGAGGUAAUGGCUCACCAAGGCGACGAUCCCUAUCUGGUUUGAGAGGAUGAUCAGCCACACUGGGACUGAGACACGGCCCAGACUCCUACGGGAGGCAGCAGUGGGGAAUAUUGCACAAUGGGCGCAAGCCUGAUGCAGCCAUGCCGCGUGUGUGAAGAAGGCCUUCGGGUUGUAAAGCACUUUCAGUAAGGGGGAAAGGUUAAGUGUUAAUAGCACUUAGCUGUGACGUUACUUACAGAAGAAGCACCGGCUAACUCCGUGCCAGC
rnacentral:rRNA from 1 species